rnacentral:rRNA from 1 species
UACGUAGGGGGCAAGCGUUGUCCGGAUUUAUUGGGCGUAAAGAGCGUGUAGGCGGCCAUGUAGGUCCGUUGUGAAAACUCGAGGCUCAACCUCGAGACGCCGAUGGAAACCAUGUGGCUAGAGUCCGGAAGAGGAGAGUGGAAUUCCUGGUGUAGCGGUGAAAUGCGCAGAUAUCAGGAGGAACACCCGUGGCGAAAGCGGCUCUCUGGGACGGUACUGACGCUGAGACGCGAAAGCGUGGGGAGCGAACAGG